rnacentral:rRNA from 1 species
CCUACGGGAGGCAGCAGUGAGGAAUAUUGGACAAUGGGCGCAAGCCUGAUCCAGCCAUGCCGCGUGCAGGAAGAAGCAUCUAUGGUGUGUAAACUGCUUUUGUACGGGAAGAAACACUCCUACGUGUAGGAGCUUGACGGUACCGUAAGAAUAAGGAUCGGCUAACUCCGUGCCAGCAGCCGCGGUAAUACGGAGGAUCCAAGCGUUAUCCGGAAUCAUUGGGUUUAAAGGGUCCGUAGGCGGUUUAAUAAGUCAGUGGUGAAAUCUGGUCGCUUAACGAUCAAACGGCCAUUGAUACUGUUAGACUUGAAUUAUUGUGAAGUAACUAGAAUAUGUAGUGUAGCGGUGAAAUGCUUAGAUAUUACAUGGAAUACCAAUUGCGAAGGCAGGUUACUAACAAUAUAUUGACGCUGAUGGACGAAAGCGUGGGGAGCGAACAGGAUUAGAUACCCUGGUAGUCCACGCCGUAAACGAUGGAUACUAGCUGUUGGGCGCAAGUUCAGUGGCUAAGCGAAAGUGAUAAGUAUCCCACCUGGGGAGUACGUUCGCAAGAAUGAAACCUNAAGAUUGACGNNGAGAGNGCGAGACGACGACGAGGGAGGAGG